UUGAAAAUAUUAAUGAAAAUAUUGCUCUGAUAUGUGUACAGUUUUUUGUACCUCUUUGUUUCUGGGUAGUCUGCAUGAUGGAGAUUUUGUCGUAGCUCUUCUGUCCCAAGCAACACCUUAUAUGUCUGUGCUGAUUUUUAGUUUGAUAUCUCUGCAAUUUUAAGCUAUUGUUUCUAUAUAAGUUUUUGCUUAGGUUGGUGGAUGCAAGGCAGAAAUUUUGAAAGGUGGAUUAAUUUUGCAACUGUGAAGAUCUAUUGCCAUUUUUUAAACCUCUUUGCUCAUGACCAGUUUUUAUUCUGGUCCUUAGGACAGGUGUGUUUUACCAGCCUUUCAGGAAACUCUUGCUUGUAGAGCAGAUCUGAAUUUGAUAUUCAUUUUGAGUUUUCCACCAGUACAUAUUUAGUGUAGGCUGUGUUUUCUUUUUAAUUUGAUUUAGGCUUUGUAAAAUUGGAGGGUGCCUGAAGGGAACCAUGCCUUACAGCUGUUUGUUACAUUAAAGACAUUAUUGUAAAAAGGCUGCUUAGAGUCCAAGCACAUUAAUUUUCAUACUCCCUCAUAUUGACAGGUGGGAAAUAAAGAAAACUUUAAGUUGUAGGAUUACCAUUUCAGAAGGAUCAUUAGAAUGCAUUGCACAGAUACUUUUAAUAACUAACCUGAUUUCAUUUUGACUAAGCUGGUAAGUUGCACAAGAAGAGUUAAUGUCGUUUGACUUCUGAAAAUGUCCCUUUUAGAAUUUCCUGGUAGCUCUUUGAUUUUUCUCUUAUAUGUAAGUAUUUUCUAUCAGUAAAAUGCUUAUUGAGACAUGACAAAUGGAGAUAUUGGGGAGGUGUAGCAGCAUUAUGAAAAGACUGGUAUUGGGCUGGACCCUUUUUUAUUAAAGAAAAAUAGCCUAAUGCUGUUCACUACAGAAAACAUCGAUUUGGAAGUAAAUGUAAGUUAAAAUUUGUAACUUAAAGACUGAUAGGAUGGUGAAUUAUA